CGGCGCGGGCCCUGUCAGCGCCCCGGGGGCGGGCGCGGUCGGCACGGGGAGGUCGGUGCCACACGCAGAGAAUUGCGUCUAAGCUGCCAUCUGCAUUCUUUGGCGUUCAAGUUGAAGUGCUGACAGUCGGUAUUUCACCAGAAAUAGCCGCUGGCUGUACUGGUGCCUUUCCCUCCUCACUAGAGGUUGUCAGAAAUUACAAAAAUGAUCAGAAUUCUGUUUGUCCCAACCUUCGUAACAUCCUUUUCCCCCCCCAAAGGCAUAUGUUUUUUUUUUAGGGCUAAACACGAGGUGAAUUAGAAUGUCAAUAGUCACAGUCCAGCUUGGCCAGUGUGGUAACCAAAUUGGCCAUGAGGUGUUUAACACUGUUUGUGGUGAUGUCCGUGGCACACAUGGAUUGUGUUCCAAGAAGGAGAACGAAGCCUACCAUGAUGCUUGUACAGAACGGUUUUUCAGCGAGGCAGAGUCUGGAGUACCUGUUGCCCGGGCUGUGCUUGUUGACAUGGAACCUAAAGUCAUCAGCCAAACUUUGUCAAUAGCUGCCCGGUCUGGCCACUGGAAAUACGAUGAUCAGUCGCACUUCUGUCAGAAGCAAGGGUCCGGGAACAACUGGGCAAAUGGUUAUUCUGUUCAUGGGCCUAGAAACAAAGAAGUAAUCAUGAAUCUAGUACAAAAAGAAGUAGAGAAAUGUGACCGACUCAGUGGAUUUUUCACCAUAAUGAGCAUGGCUGGUGGUACGGGUUCUGGCCUAGGAGCAUUUGUGACUCAGUGUUUAAGAGAUGCUUUUCCAACCUCAUUUAUACUAAACCACAUUAUCUGGCCCUACGGCACUGGUGAGGUCAUUGUUCAAAACUACAACUCUGUUUUGACUCUGUCACAUCUGUAUCAGUCAUCAGAUGCUCUUCUUGUUCAUGAAAAUGAUGUCAUCCACAAGAUUUGUGCUCAGCUGAUGCAUAUUAAACAGAUCUCCUUCAGGGAUGUAAAUCAAGUCAUUGCACAUCAACUGGGGAGUGUUUUCCAGCCCGCUCGCACAGCAGAAGCUGGCUUACACUACAGCAGAAACCCUUUAGGGGACUUAAUGGAGACGUUAGUUCCACAUCCUGAAUUCAAGAUGUUGGGUCUCCGUAACAUACCUCAGAUGCCUGAAAACUCCCUUGCAUACAGCACGUUCAGUUGGCCUGGACUCAUCAAACAUCUGAGGCAAAUGCUCAUUGCUAACGCUAAAAUGGAGGAAGGUAUUGAUUGGCAAGUGCGGCCGCCGUGUCCAGGCUCCUCCAUCCCCUCCAGUCAUUCCAGAAACAAGCAUUUCAAUACUUCCAUUGCCAACCUGGUCAUCCUGCGAGGAAAAGACACGCACAGUGUAGACUUAGGAAGUUUCCAAGAUCCCUCAUUAUAUACAUCAUGGCUAAAUCCUCAGGAUGCUUUCAAUGCAUGGAAAACCCCAAGAGCAUUUAAUAAGUAUGAAAAGUCUGCUUCUCUGGUUAGCAAUAGCCAGUUCCUGCUGAAACCUCUUGACAAUGUUGUAGGAAAAGCUUGGAAUAUGUUUGCUUCCAAAUCUCUAAUGUCUUGUCCAUUUUUCAACUGUGACUUCAACACACAGAGCCUAUGUUCACCAGUACACUAAGUUUGGAAUCGAAGAGGAAGAUUUCUUGGACAGUUUCACAGCUCUGGAACAAGUUAUUUCCAGUUACACCAACCUCUGAUUUUUGAAAUGGUCUCCUCCUGAAAGAACCCAGCACUGGAAGACCUUUCAUCAGCUAUCAAGUAUAUAAAUUACUGGACUACAACUCUUUGUUAAUCUUGUGCUAGAAUCAAACUGCAUGAGAAUGGAGUGUGUUUGUAUGGGCAGGUCGGGAACAGAAGCACUGAAAUCCAUCCAGGAACAGCUGUUCUCAAAGUAGCUCUGGAUCAUGAGAUCUGGAAAGGCAAACAAAGCUGACAGGAUCCAAGUAACUGUACAACUGACUCUGGAGAAAGUACUGGGGAUGUGGAGAGCAGAGGGUCAAGUGGCAGGAAGCGAAUAACUAUUAUCAAAUGUACAUCAUCUCAAAUUAUAUUAGAAGAUGGAGAAUUAUUUUUUUACUAUUAUUUUAUGGAGAAAAUGAAUUGUGUAAACGAGAGCUUGAGCCUGGCUGAGGGCUGUUACUUCAUUAGCAGCUGAAAUCAUCGAGGUAGAUCAAAAGGCAUCCCAAGGCAAUGGUGAGCCAAGGGACCGCAGCACCGGUGGCCCUGACCCCACUGCUUUUAGGCAAACUAUCCACAGGAAAUCCAUGAACCAAAGAACAAUGCAUCGAAUCUCACUAUUGUUUGUUGUCACAGACAGGUGCAGGUCCCCUGGAAGUUGAUUCAAGGACUAACUGUAGCAGAAAUACUGAGCGAACAGGAUAACUUUAUUUGGUCACCAGAAAAACAGGACCUAAGUGUAAUGUGUUGCAAGUACUUUAAAGACAGUGACUGGCACCGAUGUAACUUAUUUGGACUUGCUUGUAAAGUAGGACUCCAUUACCAGUAAAGAAAGGAUAUGAACAAUGAAAAUGGACUUUUAGGGGACUUACGGGCAUGGAGUUAGCAACAGGAACAGUUCUAGAUUAAGGGCAAAAACCUGUGGUUUCCACAAAGACCAGAAUUCUGCCAACAUGGAAAAAGGAAGUCGUGUGCGAAUUAGCAGCUGGUACAUGACUGGGAAACGUUAGGGUGAAAAAUGUAUUGAAUGAAUCAUUCAUUUCCUUUAGCAUUUGUUAAUAAAUUCAGUAUAAGUGCUAUGAAAUGACAACCCAAACAUCCUAAAGGAAAUACUCUCGGAUGUCAAAGCAUACUUUAAGGAAGUCUGAGAUUUGCUGGACACCGCUUUAAAAACUGAAUAACAGCCAUCAGGAAUGUGAUUCAUGGAUCUGCUGUAUUACAAAAA